AACGAACGCUGGCGGCAUGCCUAACACAUGCAAGUCGAACGAAGCCUUCGGGCUUAGUGGCGCACGGGUGCGUAACGCGUGGGAAUCUGCCCCUUGCUUCGGAAUAACAGUUAGAAAUGACUGCUAAUACCGGCUGAUGUCUUCGGACCAAAGAUUUAUCGGCAAGGGAUGAGCCCGCGUAGGAUUAGGUAGUUGGUGGGGUAAAGGCCUACCAAGCCGACGAUCCUUAGCUGGUCUGAGAGGAUGAUCAGCCACACUGGGACUGAGACACGGCCCAGACUCCUACGGGAGGCAGCAGUGGGGAAUAGUGGACAAUGGGGGGAACCCUGAUCCAGCAAUGCCGCGUGAGUGAUGAAGGCCUUAGGGUUGUAAAGCUCUUUUACCAGGGAUGAUAAUGACAGUACCUGGAGAAUAAGCUCCGGCUAACUCCGUGCCAGCAGCCGCCGUAAAAC
rnacentral:rRNA from 1 species